GGGUGCGAUUAUACCAGAAUUAAUUCACUGGAUCCCAUCAGAACUCCACAGUUAAGCGCGCUUGGGCUAGAGCAAUACUGGGAUGGGUGACCUCCCGGUAAGUCCUAGUGUUGCACCCU
rnacentral:rRNA from 1 species